UACGAAGGGUGCAAGCGUUACUCGGAAUCACUGGGCGUAAAGCGUGCGUAGGCGGUUCGUUAAGUCUGCUGUGAAAGCCCUGGGCUCAACCUGGGAACUGCAGUGGAUACUGGCGGACUAGAGUGUGAUAGAGGGUGUGGUGAAUUCCCGGUGUAGCGGGUGAAAUGCGAUAGAGAUCGGGAGGAACACCAGUGGCGAAGGCGGCCAUCUGGAUCAACACUGACGCUGAGGCACGAAAGCGUGGGGAGCAAAC
rnacentral:rRNA from 1 species